rnacentral:rRNA from 1 species
GAUGAACGCUGGCGGCGUGCCUAACACAUGCAAGUCGAGCGAUCUUCUUCGGAAGAGAGCGGCGGACGGGUGAGUAACGCGUGGGUAACCUGCCUCAUACACAUGGAUAACAUACCGAAGGUAUGCUAAUACAAGAUGAUAUAAGAGAUUCGCAUGGAUUUCUUAUCAAAGCUCGGCGGUAUGAGAUGGACCCGCGUCUGAUUAGCUAGUUGGUAAGGUAAUAGGCUUACCAAGGCGACGAUCAGUAGCCGACCUGAGAGGGUGAUCGGCCACGAUUGGAACUGAGACACGGUCCAAACUCCUACGGGAGCAGCAGUGGGAAUAUUGCACAAUGGGCAAAGCCUGAUGCAGCAACGCCGUCGUG